ensembl:rRNA 5S_rRNA 5S ribosomal RNA
GUCUACGGCCAUACCACCCUGAAUGUGCCCGAUCUCGUCUGAUCUCGGAAGCUAAGCAGGGUCAGGCCUGGUUAGUACUUGGAAGGGAGACAGUGAUUGCUCGCUCUCACACUCCUAUUCAAUGUAGGGCUGGAAGUC